rnacentral:tRNA from 1 species
UCCCUGAUAGCUCAGUUGGUAAAGAAUCUGCCUACAAUGCAGAAGACCCCAGUUCAAAUCCUGGGUCAGGAA